GGGGAUUUAGCUCAGUGGUAGAGUGCUUGCCUAGCAAGUGCAAAGCCCUGGGUUCGGUCCCCAGCUCCG
rnacentral:tRNA from 1 species